CUAUGAGCAGAGCUCUGGCUUUUGGAAGCUGCACAGGUCAUCAGAAGCACACAGAAGAGUUAUUUCUACCAUCCCCUGUCCUCUCUGCUACCCAGGCAUGCCUGACAGCUCUUCAAUGCUUGCAUAAGAGCUCCUGGAAGAAGGCCAGGCCCUGGAGAGAGCCAGCAGGAGCAUGAGAUACUGCCGUGUGUCGGGACAGCCUGAAAAUGAAUGUCAUUUAUUCUCAGCUUUGAGAACUGAAUUCCAUGGGUUGUAAUUGAAUCUGCUGUCAGACCCAUGGGGCUCAGUUCUUCAGCUUGGAUAUUUCUGUCUUCACAUACACAGGAGAUCAAAGAAGCACUUGAUCAUUCUCUGCCUCUUCUGGUGAUAGCAGCGAGCAGGAGAGGAAGCAUCACUGAUGUGAAUCAUUUCAGCAGGGAGGGGUCACUGCAGAGGCCUGGCUCUCUCAGGAUAAAUUGCUGUGCAGUGAUUGAAUCUCUUCGGAUCUCACAGGCUCUGUGUUGCUACUCACUGUUUGAUUAGCUUGAUGCUUCCCUCUCGUUGUUAUCAAGCUGCCAACUGAGUCCCUGGCUGUUGUUGGUUGGAUGGUGGUCCCCAAGCCCUGCUGAGUGGUGCAGUUCUCCUGUGGACGGCUGUGGUGAGCUCCUGUAGACCGUGGAAAGCUGGACCUCCCUUGGGCUGAGCACUAAAUCUGCCAGCUGAUAAUCCGCUGUUCCCUGCUCUCCUGGUACCACUGCUGUGCACUUACUGCCUCAUUUGCUUUGUCUUGUGCCAAAAACCCAGUUUUGACAGUAGCUGUGACCAUAAAGAUUAUUCUUUUGCACCAGCCAACCAGCCCACUUCUAUGAACACAGAUUUGCUUUCCUGAGGUUAGUGAUGUGCUCCCAAAGCUGGUUUAGGGAGUUUCCAGUGUAAUCACUGAUGGCAAUGUAAGUGCUGAUUGAAGGCUUGGUAGCACAAACAUCCCUCUGUAGGGGAAUUCGUUCAAGUCACAGAUUGAUGUUUUUUCUUGGAGGACUUAUGUUAAAAUUUUUCAUUCAGGGAUCAGGAAAAGUAAUUGUCGUCUUUAAGCAUGUAAAGAGUUACAAUUAGCAAUGAGCUUUCCACCUCUUUUCUGCAAUAAUAACACCUAAAUUACAUUUUUCCAGCUCAGUAAAGGGGAUCAUAACUGAUCUUAUCCCUCUGUUACAAAGCUCUUAAAAGCACAGAAAUGCUGAAAUCCCACAGGUGUAGGAAGAGAGUGUUCAGCUAAAGUAGCUUAAGUAGCUUAAAACUGCUGUGUGCCUUUUCAUUCUGAAUAUAUAUUUACACACACAAAAAAACCCCAGAUAUUAAUCACUGUUGCCUGUGGAUACAGAUGUACCUUCAUACUGAUAUAUUUUUCAUAUAAAUUUUUAUCCUAGGGGUUGAAGACUUUCAAUUGCAGCUGUCUGAGAUGUAUUGUGCUCACCAGUUUAGAAAUUACAGUUCUUGAAAGAGCUCACUGGUUCCACCAGCUCCUGCUGUGGGAAUAUCCAUUAAACAGGAUGGAGAAACUGAACAAAGGACGAUAUUGAAAUUUUUACUUUUUAUUUUCCUCUAUCAUCCCUGUCAGAAAGAGGAAAUGAAAUUUGAGGUCAGAGUUGGUAAAAUCUUCAAAAGAAGAGAGAUCAAUGGAACAAUUUACAGGAUGUCUGAUGCAGGCAGUGUGGUGGAUAUUAAAUGCUGCAAAGCUUCAUCCUCUUCCUUCACUGUGCAGCCCAGCCUCUGGGCAGUGAUGCAGCACAGAGGUGAUGUGUGCAUGGUGGUAGCAAGGCCAUGCAUGAAAUCCAGGAGUACAGAAGUCUUUGGAGUCCUAUCUAAGUGACAAAACAAAAAUGUGGUGUAAGUAAUGCUAUUUUUUUUCUCAAAAGCCUACAGUAAGUCCUGAACUGAUAACAGCACUGUUGAUGUUGUCUCAAACUAAGCUAAAGCAGUUAAAAUGCAGGGGGGUGAAGGAGUCACUGUCAUGUAGGCAGGGAGCACAUGCAGGGCUGGUGUUACUCUGGUGAUGGCUGCUGCUUGUGAUCCUACUCGCUGGAGGGGCCAGGGGGUGUGUGUACCCCCCUGAGGGAGAGGUUCUUCACCCCCUAAAACCUCACAGGUCACCAUGCCUUUGGCAAACUGCAAAUGGGAUGUCACUACCAAAAAUCUGGUGGCCACGUGUGGUGCUGAACCUUCCCAAGCGCAUGGAGCUGGCUGUGCCCAGGGGAGAGUCAGGAAACUUCUGUCUGGCUUUGGGCUCCAGCUCUCCAUGAAUGAUGGCUUUUCAUGCAGGAAAACUGCCUCACUGCCCAUGUGUAACGAAAAAAUUUGAUGGUAUUUGUGUCCUGAGCAAGUAUAUGUUCUGAUCAUCGCAUUCAUGUGGAAAAGGGUGAAGGAAAAAGCUGGUCCCAGAGUUCAUUAUUCUCAAGCCUUUUUCCUCUCACAGCUGCCUGGAUGUGUCUGUGCUCUACAGCUGCUGCUCAGUGAGAGAACAGAACACAAUGAAUAGGUACAGAGGUGUUUUGAAAGCAGAUGCAAGGCAGUGCCCAGCCAUUCAGCGUGCUCCUGCUCAGGCCCAGGCUGCCUUUGAGGCUUGCUUGCCCUUCAUGACAAAGCAUCUUCUUUUGGGAUAUUCUUGAUAUAUUUAAACCAGCUAGGAUUUCAAGUCCCAGGCUGUCCUACUGGCACUGCUGUGCCUUUCCAGCAGAACAAAAAGUGUUUUUAGUGUGCAGUUUCAAAGCUGUGUAACGUCUAUCUCUCAUUCUGCUGCCUCACAAUAUACCUGUUUAUUCUGCCUCACUCCAGCAGGUGAGUGAUGCCCAGCCUGCAUCUCACACCCCCAGCCUCCCAUGAAGGGAUGCAGGGUCACAGUGCUGAAGCUAAAAUGACUCUGUGGCUCCUGUGCUGGGGUUCUGUCUGAUGUACAACACCUCAGGGUAUAUUAAUGGAUCUAAAUCUUUACUGAAUCUACCCGCUCCAUGCACAACCACCAGAAGUUGAAGCACCACAACUCUGAUGACUGCAUCUCUUCUGCAGGAUUUCUCUGUUGCUCCAAAUGUUUAAUUCCAAAGUGAAAUUCGGAUUUUUUCACUUUAUUUUUCAGUACAGAAGAAUUCAGGUGACUUCACCUGAAUUUUUUAGUGCUGAUAUAGGUUAAAACCUACUUUUUGGCACAAGUAAAGCUUUUCCUAAAA
ensembl:lncRNA